UAGGAACUCGCUACCUAACGUCCUGCGUGGAAGAAGCACUGGAGGGGCUCAGGAAGAAAUUAGGCACUUCCAUAUCUGUAUGGGCUGCACAACUUUUAAGCCCGGGAAACUUAAAAGAUGCGGACACACACAGGUACAGGAAGCAGAGCCAGACGGCCGCUGGCCGGGAGACUUUGUCUUUCAUUCAUUCUGUCGGCCUCGGUGGAGUUCCCGGCUAGCAACCAGCCCUGCAACAGAAAUUGGGCGGGUUUUUGUUGUGUUGUUGUUGUUGUUUUUCUUAAGGUCCUGCCAUUCGCUAGGAGAAAAUCGAUGCUUCGGUGAGAAACACUCAAGAGAAUCGGAUCCAGCUUCUCAGCAGCUGGCAAAGAAGUAAAAGCAUGAUUUAUUCUUUGACCGUGAAAACCUUCUGGAUCACUUCUAAUGCUGCUUUCCAGAUGACUUGUGAAGCUGGCACCGGAGCUCAGCAGCAGGAUUUCAUAGAGCUCAGCUCCAUAGGACAACCUUGAAUUAUCAGAAACAAGUAAUAUGGAAAUGCAUGGCUUCCCAAAGGAGUGAACUUCCCAUCACCAAUGAUACAAACCUCAAAAAUCUGAAUGCAUACCUCCUGACCACUGGGGGGAGCCACACACAGUGCUUGGAGGCAUUGCUAAAAUGGGAUCUGUUGGUACCCUGGCUUUGUGUCUUUUUAAGGUACUUCUGUUAGGGGCCUGAGCUUUUUCAUCUGUUCAAUGCUUUAAUACCGCUUAGGGUCCCAGCUGGCUCUAAUAAGGUAAA